UACAAAGAAAGAAAUUGACCAUCCUUGAAACACUGAAAAAGCUGUCUUAAUUAUCAUAUAUAAUAUAUGCUGUGAAAAUUUCUAAUUUGGCCAACUUGCAUCAACCUUUUUUUUGCAAGCCUUUGUUUCUUUAUUAUAAGGUGACCCCCCAUUGAGCUUUUUGUUUGCCGUAUAAUUUCUAUGCCUGUAAAAAAACAAAUGGGAUCUGGUCAUUUUUCUUCUUCUUGUUCUUACAACUUGAAUUGGUCGGCUGAGAAGAACAAGUUAUUUGAGAAUGCUUUGGCAAUACACGAUAAAGAUGUUCCUCAACGAUGGCAACAGAUAGCUAAGCUCGUGGGAGGAACAACGACCGAACAGGAAGUGAAGAAACAGUAUGAAAUACUUUUGGAUGAUAUCAAGCGGAUUGAAUCAGGCAAAGUGCCUCUUCCUGAGUAUACAACAAAUGGUGGGAAAUAAAAGGAUUAAUCGCAUCAUAAGACAGACUGAAGCAUGGUGGAGAAUGACCAAUGAAACAGUAGAGGCUGCUAUUUCACGGGGAAAAAGAAAAGUAAAGUAAUUUUGACCGACUUUAAAAAAAAAAAAAAGAGGCUCCUAUUUAUCUUCUUUUUAUAAUUUUUUCCUGUCUUUCUUUAUUGAUGUAAUGGUCUUGUCUGCCGACUUUCAUCCAUAUAUCGUUAAUGAUAAAUCUGACAAAUAAUCAACUCUCUUCAAUGUCAAACUUUUCUUAAAAUAAAAUAUUGGAUUAAUAUGCAAA